rnacentral:rRNA from 1 species
AGCUCAGAUUGCAGGCUGCAACUCGCCUGCAUGAAGUUGGAAUUGCUAGUAAUCGCGAAUCAGAAUGUCGCGGUGAAUACGUUCCCGGGCCUUGUACACACCGCCCGUCACACCAUGAGAGUCGAUAACACCCGAAGCCUGUGAGCUAACCGUAAGGAGGCAGCAGUCGAAGGUGGGGUUGAUGAUUGGGGUGAAGUCGUAACAAGGUACC